rnacentral:rRNA from 1 species
CGGAUCGGAGUCUGCAACCCGACUCCGUGAAGCUGGAUUCGCUAGUAAUCGCGCAUCAGCCAUGGCGCGGUGAAUACGUUCCCGGGCCUUGUACACACCGCCCGUCAAGCCAUGGGAGCCGGGGGCGCUUGAAGUGCGUCGCCGCAAGGCGCGCCCUAGAGCAAAACCGGUGACUGGGGCUAAGUCGUAACAAGGUACC